AUGGUUAGUCAGAAAUAUAAAAAAAUUGCCUUCAGCCAGAUUCGAACUGACGAUCUCCUCAUUACUAGUGAGGUGCCUUACCAACUUGGCCAUAAAGGCAAAGGAAAAUCUCCCGGGGGUGAGUCGAACACCCGAUCUCAAGAUUACAAUCACAUUACAGUCUCGCGCCUUAGCCAGCUUGGCCACCGGGAGGAUUUCGUGUUGUGA
rnacentral:tRNA from 1 species